CUUUGGUAGUCCCAGAGUGGGGAGAAGGGCCUUUGCUUCCCGGACCAAGUGUGUUGCGGUGCCAUGUUGAAUUUCUGUGCUGUAUUUUCCAUCUGUACAUAAUGCCUUUAGACCGGAGGAGGGAUGUAAAGGUCUGGAGUGAUCUACUCCAUGCCAUUGUGCUCCCGGACAAGUCCGCAUAGAAUGUGAGCGGCAUGCCUUCAAAGGUGUACGGUGAGUGGUUCCGGACCGUGGCCAUGACAGCUGCUUUAUCUUUGCCGCUUUGGAAUCUAACCAAGAGGUCUCUCUGUGCUGAGGUUGGUGCAUUCGCUGACUUUUGCAGGCGGAAUAUCCCCUCCUGUCCCACCAGUUUAGCUUGCUUAGGCAGUAGUAAUGCUGUGAGGAGUCGCCGUAUGAGAUGUGGUAGUUCUGUCUCAGGUGUAUUCUCUGAUAUACCUCUAAUUUUGAGUUUUAGUCUGUGCGUCUGGUCCUCCAUAACUGCAAACCUUAGGUCCGAUUUUGCCUGUUGUAGUUGCAGGUCUUGAACUGCCUGUUGGAGUUGGGCUGUUUGCUGAGUGUUUAGGCUAGUGUCAAUUUCCAGUGACCCCAUGCGGUUCGUUAGGCCUAGUAGGUCUUUCCGGAGAUGGCCCAUGUCGGCCUGAAUGGUGCACUGAAGGUAUGCAAGCAAAUCUUUCAUGAUUGCCGUUGUCACAGGGGCCAAGUCUGGAUGAGAGUUGGGAGGCCUUAGGGCCCUCUGCUCCGGCGGGUGUCCCGCUGCCAUUCCCAG